rnacentral:rRNA from 1 species
UCGAGGAUCUUCCGCAAUGGGCGAAAGCCUGACGGAGCGACGCCGCGUGUGGGAUGAAGGCCUUCGGGUUGUAAACCACUGUCACCGGUUAUGAAAGACCCUGGUGUUAACAGCAUCAGGGGCUGACAAAGGCCGGAGAGGAAGCCACGGCUAACUUCGUGCCAGCAGCCGCGGUAAGACGAAGGUGGCGAGCGUUGUUCGGAAUCACUGGGCAUAAAGCGCACGUAGGCGGCGGCGUAAGUCGGAUGUGAAAUCCCUCGGCCCAACCGAGGAACUGCGUCCGAUACUGCGCAGCUUGAGGACCAAAGGGGUGCAUGGAAUUUCCGGUGGAGCGGUGAAAUGCGUUGAUAUCGGAAGGAACGUCGGCGGCGAAAGCGAUGCACUGGUUGGUUUCUGACGCUGAGGUGCGAAAGCCAGGGGAGCAAACGGGAUUAGAUACCCGUGUAGUCC